rnacentral:rRNA from 1 species
UAGAGUUUGAUCAUGGCUCAGGAUGAACGCUAGCGGCAGGCCUAACACAUGCAAGUCGAGGGGUAUAGAGAGCUUGCUUUCUAGAGACCGGCGGAUGGGUGAGUAACGCGUAUGCAACCUACCUUUUACAGGGGAAUAGCCCGGAGAAAUUCGGAUUAAUGCUCCAUGGUUUAAUUGAAUGGCAUCGUUUGAUUAAUAAAGAUUUAUCGGUAAAAGAUGGGCAUGCGUAUCAUUAGCUAGUUGGUGUGGUAACGGCAUACCAAGGCUACGAUGAUUAGGGGUCCUGAGAGGGAGAUCCCCCACACUGGUACUGAGACACGGACCAGACUCCUACGGGAGGCAGCAGUGAGGAAUAUUGGUCAAUGGAGGCAACUCUGAACCAGCCAUGCCGCGUGCAGGAUGACGGUCCUAUGGAUUGUAAACUGCUUUUGUACGGGAAGAAAUGUGAUUACGUGUAAUUAUUUGACGGUACCGUAAGAAUAAGGAUCGGCUAACUCCGUGCCAGCAGCCGCGGUAAUACGGAGGAUCCGAGCGUUAUCCGGAAUUAUUGGGUUUAAAGGGUUCGUAGGCGGUUGAGUAAGUCAGUGGUGAAAUCUUAUAGCUUAACUAUAAAAUUGCCGUUGAUACUGCUUGACUUGAAUAGUAUGGAAGUAAUUAGAAAUAUGUAGUUGUAGCGGUGAAAUGCUUAGAUAUUACAUGGAAUACCAAUUGCGAAGGCAGAUUACUACGUACCUAUUGACGCUGAUGAACGAAAGCGUGGGUAGCGAACAGGAUUAGAUACCCUGGUAGUCCCACGCCGUAACGAUGGAUACUUAGCUGUUCGGUUUUCGGACUGAAUGGCCUAAGCCGAAGUGAUAGUUAUCCCACCUGGGG